rnacentral:lncRNA from 1 species
UUUUAAUGAUUUCUGACUUUUUUUCAGAGUCUCUAUCUCUUUCUUGAAGUAAUCUUUUGCUACCUGUAUGUGCUCUCUUAUCUCAUUGUUGGAGUGAUCAAUUUUUGCUUAUAUUUGCUCAUUUAGGACAUUCUUUAACUCACAGAUCAUCUUAACUUCUGAAUCUUCUGAACUCCAUCUCUGACAUUUCAUCAACUUUUCUGUCUAUAGGUUCUGUUAUUAUAGUGUUCUGAUUUGUUUGGGGCACUUUCUUCCCUUUUUUUUUUUUCAUGUUGUCUAUCUGUCUUUCUUUCUUGAAGUGUGGAUCUGAGAUAUUAUAGUUUCUUCCCCAUAUUCUUAUAGUACCUGUGCAGAUUAUCUGUAACUCACCUUGAUGUUGGGCUUCCAGACCCUGCUGGUGUCCCUUAGUGGAUGUUACUGCAUCCUGUGUCUGGGACCUGAGUAAGUUGGAGUGGGUGGAUCUGGGCUGCUGGGUUUGACCACCCAUGGUAGUCUUCUGGUAGGAGGGGCAGUCUUGUGCCAAAGGCAAGGCUCUGGCAGUGUUUGCCCCACCGGGGGAGAGGUGAACCAGGCCUGCUGAAAUCCUGAAUCCCACAUGGGCUGUUGUGAGCCAUCUGGACUAGAUCUCGGUUCUCAGGGCAGUGCACUAGUCAGAAGGGGUGGUCCUGCCUGAACUUCUCUUUCAAAUUGACAGAGAAUCAAAUAUUUCUAUGACAGGGAUAAACUAAAAGAAUAAAAUAAACUAAAUAAAAGAAUAAAAUAAGCUAAAAGAAUAAAAUAACAAAGAAUAAGAAAAAAUACUAAAAGACAUACUACACACAGAGGAAUCCAAAAACAAAACCCAAACCUCUUGAACAGAGGAAUAUUAUUUUGCUAAUUAAACGAAAAUCAAGAUGGAAUUAAAUAUAGCAAGCAAACAAAAAUGGGAGGAAACUACAAAUAUAUCCAUAAUAACAUGAUGUAAAUAGUCUUAACUACCCAAUAAAGAGACAUAUUAGAAGAAUGGAUUUAAAAAUAAGUUUAAAGUAUAUGCUGUUUGCAAGAAACUCAUCUGACAGGCAAAGAUACCCAUAGAAAUAAAAGUAAAAGG